CUUGCUACUAUCUAGAUCUACUCUAGUUUAGAGAAGAGAGGAGAGCUCUCAUCUCCAAACCCUAGCUUUUGCUUUGUCUAUGAAUAAUGAAUAAUGAUCAAGGGGUGCCUCCUCCAGGGGCCAGGGGGUCUGGUUAUAUAGUCCCCUCAAGUGAACCUGGGCCGUUGGAUCAAACCGACAUUGAUUGAACGGUUAUUCUUGAUCCUUUAGGUCGGUGGAGAUCUCCUGAGAAACAGAGUCCUGUUUGGACUCCAACAGAGGGCGGGCGCCCAGGGCAGGAGGGCGGGCGCCCUGCCUCUGGCCCCGUUCGGCCUCCGCUUCCUUCCCGUGGCUUCUGGAGUCUUCUAGAUGUAAGAUAAUUGCGUGGCACGUUAAUAUCUCUUUGUAAUCCCGACGUGUGGGCCUUUCUUCCGUAUUUCCUGAUAACCCCCUGCAGAAAUAGACAAACACCAAAACUUGUGGAAUUCUGUCAGAUAAAAUCCUAAGUCUAGAUGUUGAUUUCAUUUGGAUCCUUUUCUUUGUUUAUUUAAUAAUUAAAUUUGAUACUUAAAGACCGUCAACAAACUCCCAAGCUUACCUCUUGCUCGUCCCUGAGCAAGGAUAGACUCAGCAAUGGAUCAGAAGUUGUUGCAAUAUCUUAAAAAUUUGACGGUACAUAUGCUUUUAAAUAAGAUCUCAUCUCUGAGUUAGAGUAAACUGUCAAGAAAUAAAACUUACUUACUUUACCUUUCACCAUGGGACUUGUAACCGUCACUUCUGUCUUGAGUAGUUAAAAGAUAGAACAGUCUAGCCAAGUGUCAUGUCUCUUAUUCUUGAUCAGCUAUAGCUCUAGAGUUUUUGCAGAUUUUCAAAUAAAACUCAAAGAUUCCUUGUAUGACACUCUAAAUCUCUCUUUUGUGGUAUUUCUGGAUCCUUACCAAGGUAGUGAUGGUAUAUGCCUUCUCUCAAGAUAUGUGGUAUUUGUGGUAUAAGGCAUAGUGACAUUGCCUUCUCUCUCACCCUACUCUAAUAAGGCUUUAAUAUCUGGAGCUCAUAGGUGGGAGAUAAAAUAUACAUACUUACAAGACAUUUAUUGUAUAGUCAAACCAUGGAUCCAAAGAAACAAAUCAAUAAGCCAAAUCAAGAUGUGCAUGUGUGGUGAAUGAAUGGUGUAUGGUGAUGAUGGUGAUAACAAUGGAGAAAGUCUAAUUCUACUUUUGCUCUUUUGAGGGGAUACAUACCUUUCUUGCUUUUUGAAACUUUAUGAGGAGAAUGAGAUGCUCUUCUUUUUCUUUCCUCUCAGGUGGGUAUCUUGUACCCCUAAUUCUACUGUCGGACACUUGUCCAUUUUUACCUCUCGUCUCACUUUUUCUUUCUUUCGAGGUUCCGGGCACUUGCACCUUUUUAUUUCCUCGUUUAUUUUUAUUUAUUUUUUUUCUUCUCUUUUCUUUUUUUUCAGAGCACUCAUCUCUUGAGAUAAUAUAGCAAGUGGUAGUAGCAAGAUAACUUGAGCAUUUAUUUCACAAGGGAAAACAGAAAUAUUUUUGGCUAUUCUCUCCCGGAUUAAGAGUAGAAUAUUUUUGGGUGGUUCUGGAGAUGGACAUGGAUGGAUAUAUGUGGAUGGUACUUCCGGAGUAGAAGUAGCAUAUAUGAGUGAACGUGCAAGUGAAUCUUGAUUUAACCACAUGACAAGCUCCUAAGGGUCUACACAGCUUGACCACAGUCAAUGCUCAUAAGCAGUAAAUAGUAAAUGUGUGGCUCAAAGUCUAGCAAGCAUGUAUAUAUGGCUGUGGUAGGAAUUUAAACUCUCAUCAUAUAGGAACUCAUCAUGCAAUAUUUUAAAGAUUUUUCAAAGAUAAAAUUCUCUAGAAUUCUAGCAUCUCUAGGAACAGAUAAACAGCAGCUCAACCUUCCCAUAUCAUAUCCGUUAACAACUUAGAUUUCAGAUCAAGUUUUCAUCCCACAAGUUUAGAUCUAGAGCAAGCUUUAAAUUAUAACAGUUAUGUCUAAACUUGAGAGAGAACUUCAAAUUUGCAAAUUAGGCAGAGCAACUAUUCAUCAUAUCCAUGCUAGAGUUUUAUUAUUAAGAUUCAGAUUAGCAUAGCUAUUUUAUUUAUUUAUUAAACACACUAAGCAAAAGAUAUAUAUAUAAGCACAAAAUCUUUAUUUGGUUUUUCAUAGUUUAUGUAUUUUAAUAUUCUAACAUAAUAUAAGUAUAAAGAUAGGUAGAAAUACUUAGCGAGAUAAAUGGGGGUGCUCUCCCCCAAGCUGAAUUUUGACGUAAUUUCUCUUGAUGUAGCUAGCAGAUGGCAGAGGUAUAUUUGAAAGUCAGCAGCAUUCUGACAGCGAUUAGAAUGCCCUCCAUCUGCUAGUCUUCUUGAUUCUUAAAUUAUGUGGAGCUCAAAUAGACAACAAAGCUUGUGGAACUAAUUAAGUGUUAGCAUAAAUAUCUAGCCUUCAUCAUGUUGAGCUUCCUCAAUAAAUAUUACUCCAUGUUUUUAUAUUUUUUAUUUUAUAAAGCAGAAAAGAAAUAUUUAUUUUAUUUUUAUGCCACCACAGUGAAGGUACUCAUGGGUUUUAUGCCACUCGUAUACUCACAUGGGGCUUAGUAUUUUUUUAACAUUUUUAUUUUCUUUUCAAGAUAGCAUGAUUAACUAAUAAUCUAUUUAAGGAAAGUAAAUAAUUAAAGGGAAAAGGGAAUGCAGAAAGGAUAAAUAUGGAUAACUACCGAUCUUACCUUUCGGCGAGGGUUCAAUGUUUUAAGUCUUCUUAACAAGACUUCUCACCGUGUUCAUUCUUCAGGUGCGUCAUUUGAUUCAGGUGCAGACCUUGACAUCUGCACCUCUUCGUUUGCCCAGCAGUUCGAAGUGCGGCGUUGGCAGUAUCCUGCUCAGUAUAUUUGUGCUCGUAGAUCCAGGUCCUUCACUUGGUAGAGUAUGAGAGUUAUAAAACUCCUCCGUGUUUUGCUCGAAGUGUACCUUGCUUGAAGAGUGAUGGUACAAUAUCACCUUGUGGAAGCUUUCCUUUCUUAGCGGUUGUGCAUCGUGUUUGUGGCACCCUCCAUGGAUCAUCUCUCUAUGAUGAAUGAGCUAUGUCCUUCUUGUGCAAAUUGUUAAACUUCAUGUGUCACUCUCUUCGUCUCUGAUGUGAGUUUAUCUCAGGACUUCCCAAAUCGAUAUUGAAAGUUUUACUGCAGGGGUUAGUCCGACAAAAAUAUACCAAUGUCUACACAAGCAGUUUUUAAUUCAAUAACCGAACUAGACUCCAUGUGUAAUCAGAUUAAGGAAGGCUGUUUAACCUAAGCACCAUGCUUAAUUUAAAAUCCAAUAGAAGUAUGUGCAGUACUUCCAAACUAACAGUUACUAGUAAAUAGACAAAGGUAACAUGACAGCAUUUAUAGAGAUCUACUCAAGUGGAGAUGAAGUAGUGUGAUUAGUAUUUAACAAAUUGAGCAUGUCUUAAAGGUAGGGACAACCAACAUAGCAACAUGGCAAAGGAUGUAAAGUACUCCCCCAAGCUUGAAUUUUGCAGAAUUCAAGUUUGGAUGAAUUUAAUUCAGUGUUGCAUGA
rnacentral:lncRNA from 1 species